AUAGACGCUCACGAACAUUACAAGUAAAUUCAACAAAGUGGCUGUGCGACACAAUUAGUUUCUUGCGAAACACGCGGGGCGGCGAUGACUAGAAUUACUAAGGCUAGCGACGUGCUUUGCAGCAGGGGUCGCCCUCUCUUGUAUUAUAUUCACACUCAUAGUAAUGUUGUCUGUUGGAAUUGGUCUCGGCUACAAUUAUUGUUUGGUUGACACGGGUACCGCGACGCCCACAACUCAAG